UACAACUACUGUGAGAAAACAUAAGGUUAUCCUAUUAUCUAGAAAUUCUACUCCUGUAUAAAUACUUGUGUUAGUAUACAAGCAUUCAGAGAAAGAGAGAAAUUUAUAUGAGGAAUUGGCUCAUGCAAUUAUGGAGGCUGAGAAGUCUCAUGAUCUACCAUGUGCAAACUGGAGACCUAGAAGAAGAGCCAGUGGUAUAAUUCAGCCAGAGUCCAAAGGCUUGAGAGCCAGGAGGGCCAAUAAUGUAAAUCCCAGUCCAAGGGCAGAGGAAAAUGGGGUAAGAUGGUCAGCUCAGUCAGUGAGACAUGCAAAAAAGGUUUCUGAAAUAAAGAAAAUACAUGAGAAAGAUAUUUCUUAUAUGAAGACAAGGCAAAGGAAAUACCUGGCACAAAAGGAUUCAUUACCGAAGUUAUUAUUUUACUAGAAUGGAGAACCAGUAGCCUUUGAAUAAAUGUUUAUAAUAACAAUGUUAA